rnacentral:rRNA from 1 species
AUGAGCGCGGUGAACUUAACGAACGUGGCGGUGCUGAACAACCCUACCUCUUUCGUCAAUCCCUUCCAGUUCGAGAUCUCGUACGAGUGCCUCGNNNNNNNNNNNNNNGAUCUGGAGUGGAAGCUUAUAUAUGUUGGAUCAGCUGAAGAUGAGAACUAUGAUCAGCAACUUGAGAGUGUGCUUGUUGGCCCUGUGAAUGUUGGGACAUACCGUUUUGUUCUGGAGGCCGACCCCCCUGAUCCCUCAAAGAUCCGUGAGGAGGACAUAAUCGGUGUUACGGUGCUUUUGUUGACCUGUUCAUACAUGGGGCAGGAAUUCAUCAGAGUAGGCUACUACGUGAACAAUGAUUACGACGAUGAGCAACUUAGGGAAGAACCCCCAGCGAAGCUGCUGAUUGACCGGGUGCAGAGAAAUAUUUUGACCGACAAGCCCCGAGUCACCAAGUUCCCCAUCAAUUUCCAUCCUGAAACCAGCGGAGGACAGCAGCAAGAUCAGCCACAAUCAGCUGUACCUGAAAACCAUACAAGCGAAGGGAGCAAGGCCAACGCAGAUCUUUGA